rnacentral:sRNA from 1 species
UCUGCCUGCUGUCGGGGGCGGGCUGGCCAGGCCGAGGCCGGAGCAGGCAGGCAUCCCCCGGAGUUGUCUCUUUUCAUGCCAGUGCCAACAGGAGGCUGUUUGGACACACUGAUUACUCACUCACCAGCCUCCCUCUUUUGUCCACCAGCCCAGCCUGACUCCUGGAGAUUGUGAAUAGCUCCAUCCAGCCUGAGAAACAAGCCGGGUGGCUGAGCCAGGCUGUGCACGGAGCGCCUGACGGGCCCAACAGACCCAUGCUGCAUCCAGAGACCUCCCCUGGCCGGGGGCAUCUCCUGGCUGUGCUCCUGGCCCUCCUUGGCACCACCUGGGCAGAGGUGUGGCCACCCCAGCUGCAGGAGCAGGCUCCGAUGGCCGGAGCCCUGAACAGGAAGGAGAGUUUCUUGCUCCUCUCCCUGCACAACCGCCUGCGCAGCUGGGUCCAGCCCCCUGCGGCUGACAUGCGGAGGCUGGACUGGAGUGACAGCCUGGCCCAACUGGCUCAAGCCAGGGCAGCCCUCUGUGGAACCCCAACCCCGAGCCUGGCGUCCGGCCUGUGGCGCACCCUGCAAGUGGGCUGGAACAUGCAGCUGCUGCCCGCGGGCUUGGCGUCCUUUGUCGAAGUGGUCAGCCUAUGGUUUGCAGAGGGGCAGCGGUACAGCCACGCGGCAGGAGAGUGUGCUCGCAACGCCACCUGCACCCACUACACGCAGCUCGUGUGGGCCACCUCAAGCCAGCUGGGCUGUGGGCGGCACCUGUGCUCUGCAGGCCAGACAGCGAUAGAAGCCUUUGUCUGUGCCUACUCCCCCGGAGGCAACUGGGAGGUCAACGGGAAGACAAUCGUCCCCUAUAAGAAGGGUGCCUGGUGUUCGCUCUGCACAGCCAGUGUCUCAGGCUGCUUCAAAGCCUGGGACCAUGCAGGGGGGCUCUGUGAGGUCCCCAGGAAUCCUUGUCGCAUGAGCUGCCAGAACCAUGGACGUCUCAACAUCAGCACCUGCCACUGCCACUGUCCCCCUGGCUACACGGGCAGAUACUGCCAAGUGAGGUGCAGCCUGCAGUGUGUGCACGGCCGGUUCCGGGAGGAGGAGUGCUCGUGCGUCUGUGACAUCGGCUACGGGGGAGCCCAGUGUGCCACCAAGGUGCAUUUUCCCUUCCACACCUGUGACCUGAGGAUCGACGGAGACUGCUUCAUGGUGUCUUCAGAGGCAGACACCUAUUACAGAGCCAGGAUGAAAUGUCAGGUGACAGUCACCCCUAGCUUCCUAGGAACCCCCUAGGGCCUCAAGUGAGGGUCUUAAUGCAGGGACCCUGGAGUGAGAGGUGGUUCCUUCAAUGUCUCUGACCUCACCCUAUUCAUCAGCAUAAAGCAGGGGUCGUGGACUCCAAGGCUCAUAGAAGCCAGGAGGUCACUUAUUGACCUGAGGGGCCAAGGUCAAGACCAACCUCUAUCUAAGGGAGUUCCAGCCACUGGUUGCCUUGCAGGAAUGCAAGGUCAGGGUGGCCAGAGCUCGGGGUUGUUCAAGAAAACCAGCAACCCACACUUCCACUGGCAACUCUCAAAACCACAAUUAAUUACUGGGGUUGGCAAUCAACUCGGAUAUAUUUAAGACACUGUGCAGGUGAAACAGAACCUCCUCAGGGGCCAGACCUUGCCUGGGCUUGUGGGCUGCUGGUCGCGCCCCUGUGCACAGGGAGAAGAGAAGCAGACGGGAGCAGAAGGGACCCCUGCUCUUGGAAGGGAGGCUGUGCGGGCUGGGGGUGAUGAUAGCCCGGCCAGCACACACACAUGGCAUCUUAGGCCAUGGGCAGGGGUGGCAGGAAGGGGCAGCCUGGGCUCUGGGAGCCUUGCCUGUGUGACCCAGGGUGGGGUUACAGAGGAAAGGCGGGGUGCUGGCCCAGAUCAAGAGCCAGAAAGUGCAGGACAUCCUUGCCUUCUAUCUGGGCCACCUGGAGACCACCAACGAGGUGAUUGACAGUGACUUCGAGACCAGGAACUUCUGGAUCGGUGAGUGCCCAGCUGAUUGGGGGUAUGGUGAGUAAGGGGUUGUGAUGCCCCACCCUGCUGCAGGAACCCUGGGCCAUGGCGGCUGCCAGCAGAUGGCAAGGGUGUGUUGAGGGCCUGGAGCCCAGAGCGGGGCCAGCUGCUCACCCCCUUUCCCGGGGAGGGCCCAGGUAGGGAGCACAUGGGGGCUGCCAGCGCUGGGAAGAGGGGCCAGAAAGGCAGCUGGCAGCAGACUCCAGGGUCUGAGUGGGCCAACCUUGACUACCCCGGCCCAGGGCUCACCUACAAGACCGCCAAGGACUCCUUCCGCUGGGCCACAGGGGAGCACCAGGCCUUCACCAGUUUUGCCUUUGGGCAGCCUGACAACCACGGGUUUGGCAACUGCGUGGAGCUGCAGGCUUCAGCUGCCUUCAACUGGAACGACCAGCGCUGCAAAACCCGAAACCGUUACAUCUGCCAGUUUGCCCAGGAGCACAUCUCCCUGUGGGGCCUAGGGUCCUGAGGCCUGACCACAUGGCUCCCUCGCCUGCCCUGGGAGCACCGGCUCUGCUUACCUGUCUGCCCACCUUUCUGGAACAAGGUUCCACCUGUCUGGAACAAGGUUAAGACCACAUGCCUCAUGUCCAAAGAGGUCUCAGACCUUGCACAAUGCCAGAAGUUGGGCAGAGAGAGGCAGGGAGGCCAGCGAGGGCCAGGGAGUGAGUGUUAGAAGAAGCUGGGGCCCUUCGCCUGCUUUUGAUUGGGAAGAUGGGCUUCAAUUAGAUGCCGAAGGAGAGGACCCCGCCAGUGGUCCAAAAAGGCUGCUCUCUUCCACCUGGCCCAGACCCUGUGGGGCAGCGGAGCUUCCCUGUGGCAUGAACUCCACAGGGUAUUAAAUUAUGAAUCAGCUGAA